rnacentral:lncRNA from 1 species
GUUUAAGGUCCCUGCCAACCCCAAGCUCAACGCACAGACCGCGGGGCCGAGCGGUUAUUUCACUUGCCGCCACAGGGUGGCGCUGUGCCACCAACGUCCUUUCGUCUCCAACAGGCUUCCUGCCGGCGCCGCUGCAAGAAGCCGAACAGGGCCCUGAGACAUCCAGGUCUCUGUUUCGGAUUACCAGGCACGCUCGGGCCGCCGGACACCGAUCCAAGCAUUCAUCUGAAAGAUAAUGGGAAAACAGGCCUCAGCUUUGUGCAAAGUUGGAAUGCAAAAGCAAGGCUUUGCUUGUUGCAAACCACUCUGGGUCCUUUCUCUUUCAAGAGCCAGACCACUUUGGAAGCCUGUUUGUCCGUAAUAACUAAGUAAGAGUGACCAGAGCAAAACGGUAAGAUUGCUAUGUCCAUGUAGAUACAUGAGCAUGUGUGCAUGCUUAGUUGCUUGUCGUGUCUGACUCUUUGGAACUCUGUGGACUCUAGCCCGCCAGGCUCCUCUUCCAUGAGAUUCUCCAGGCAAGAAUACUAGAGUGAGUUGCCACAGCCUCCUCCAGGGGAUCUUCCUGACCCAGGAACUGAACCUGCGUCUCCUGUAUCUCCUGCAUUGCAGGUAUAUUCUUUACCACUGUAGCCCCAAAGAUGUAUGUAUGUACCUUAUAAAUAUGAGAUGUCUCUGCCUUCUAAUGGCAUUGUCAAAACUGGUUUGUGGAUGAGCUCUGUUUAAUUGGCUUAAGAGAAAUUAAGUGCUUAUAUGAAUUCUCAGGAAUAUAAAAGAUACUGAUCAGAAUGAAUUUCAGGUUCAAGUGAUCUGGUAAAUAUUCAGUACUGAGUCGAUAUCUGGUACUGAAGCUAGCUGAAGCUUGUUGGUUUGACUAAUACUGACAUGUCUUUAGCAUCAUCAGUGUUAAGUAGUACUUCUGUUGCACCUAGGUUUGCUGAAGAUCAAAUAAGACCUUAUUAUAUUUGUUGAAACUGUCAGUGAGGAAAAUAACUUGAUAACUGGAAACUAAAUUUUUAUUAUCUGAGAUCAGACGAGAUCGGGCGCCUUCAGGCUGAUAUGGCCGGAGGCAGUAACUGAUUUUAAUUUUUUUAAAAAGGAAUGACCUGUUGAUGCAUACAUGGAUGGAUGGCAGAGCAAUUAUGCUAAGUAAAAUAAGCCAGAUUUUAAAAGUACCUACUGUAUGAUUCCAUUUAUAUAAAAUUCUGUAAAAUGCAAACUAACUCAUAGUGAGCAGAUUACUGGUUGCCUGGGGAGUGGGUGUUGGCAGGAAGAGGAAUGGAAAAAGGAUUAUUAAGUGGUGUGAGGAAACUUUUGGGGGCAAUGGAUAUGUCCAUUACCUUAAUUGUGGCAAUGGUUUCAGGGGUGUAAGCUUAUGCCAAAUUUAUCAAGCUAUCCAUUUUAAACAUGCACAAUAUAAUGUAUGUCAGUUAGGAUCAAUAAACCUCUUAAAAAUAGUAAUGCA